GAUGUGAUUGAAUGGCUGAAACGAGGUAUUCACGAACGUGCGAAAAGUGACGAAGUGGAGCAAAAGUCUCUCGAUGUGCUAAAAACGGCUCGGCAGUGCUUCGUGAACCUAGGAAGAGACCAACCACCGCUGAUUAAAAAGAUGCUAACAAAUGUGCUAUUUCAAGGCACUGAGUGCGCCUCUACCAAAUUGGGAAUAGAAGACUCCAUGGAACGACACGAAGCUGAAAAGCUUUGCUACCUUAAUGCUGCUGAAUCGAGAAAGG